GAGGCGCGUUUAGAGGACUUGGCGUGGCAACACGUCGAGAACCCUGAACGUGCGGAAGGCGAGUGCCGUUGGCUUGUUGCUUGUGGGAACGGGUGAAUUCGUGGGCGUUCGUUGCGGUGCUGGUAACUCGUGUACGACACAUGUGUCGUGCGCUUGCUUCUCGUAUCGUGUGCGUUCGUCUGCCCUCGUUCUCGACUCGGUGUAUAGUCGGUCACCCAUUUGACCCGUCUUGAAACACGGACCAAGGAGUUUAAGGUGUACGCGAGUCAUUGAGCUUAUUGUCGAAACUCAACGGCGUAAUGAAAGUGAGACUCUUGGAGUCGACGAUGUGAACGGGGCGCGUUUCGACGUUCUUCGUGCAACAUCGCCCCGUGACUUGGACUUGUCCUGUUGCGGAGGUUGAGCGUACGCUUUGAGACCCGAAAGAUGGUGAACUAUGCCCGAACAGGAUGAAGCCAGAGGAAACUCUGGUGGAAGUCCGAAGCGGUUCUGACGUGCAAAUCGAUCGUCUGAUUUGGGUAUAGGGGCGCAAGACUAAUCGAACCAUCUAGUAGCUGGUUCCUUCCGA
rnacentral:rRNA from 1 species